rnacentral:rRNA from 1 species
UACGAAGGGUGCAAGCGUUACUCGGAAUUACUGGGCGUAAAGCGUGCGUAGGUGGUGAGUUAAGUCUGAUGUGAAAUCCCCGGGCUCAACCUGGGAAUGGCAUUGGAUACUGGCUCGCUAGAGUGCGGUAGAGGGUGGUGGAAUUCCCGGUGUAGCAGUGAAAUGCGUAGAGAUGUGGAGGAACACCGAUGGCGAAGGCAGCCUCCUGGGCCAGCACUGACGCUCAUGCACGAAAGCGUGGGGAGCAAACAGG